rnacentral:lncRNA from 1 species
GGGAGCAGCAACUACAUGCUAUGUGGCAUUGAAUCCGCAAGUUAAAGGGGUUAGCGGUGAAUAUUUUGUUGACAGCAACAAAGCAGAUCCCAGCGCUACCAGCGUCAUGUCUAAAGAUCCGGAAUUGGCCAAGAAGCUGUGGGAUUUCAGCUUGAGCUUGACACAAGGCAAGUAGUUUGGUGGCUAAGAAGGAAAUCCCUUCCCAAUGUGUUGGCCUGCUCACUAUGCUAGCUAAUACGUACUUCAGACCUUGUGUGUGCUUGAUUAUAAAUUGUAAUUUCAGUUCCAUAUUAUGUGUGUUUGUGUGCUUAAAUAUGAGAGAACAAUUUUACAGACCUUGUGUAAUGUGCAAUUUUAGUUCCAUAUUCAGCAUGUAUUGUUUGUGUUGUGUGUAUAACAAGUCAAUUAUUAUAUGGAAUGAAGGUAGUAGUAAAGUUUGUCCAACAAUUCAUAAAUCUUUUUGAAUACAAACUACCACAAGAGGCCAUUGGGCAGAGGUA